CAGUAGCCGCGGGAAUACGAAGGGUGCGAGCGUUGUCCGGAAUUAUUGGGCGUAAAGAGCUUGUAGGUGGUUUGUCGCGUCUGCUGUGAAAAUCCGAGGCUCAACCUCGGACUUGCAGUGGGUACGGGCAGACUAGAGUGUGGUAGGGGAGACUGGAAUUCCUGGUGUAGCGGUGGAAUGCGCAGAUAUCAGGAGGAACACCGAUGGCGAAGGCAGGUCUCUGGGCCAUUACUGACACUGAGAAGCGAAAGCAUGGGGAGCGAACAGGAUCAGAUACCCGAGUAGUCCCUGUCUCUUAUAC
rnacentral:rRNA from 1 species